rnacentral:misc_RNA from 1 species
UUUAUACAGAUCAAGUUGCUGAAAAUCUUGGCGUUGCUAGGAAGUGGUGACAAGCAAGCAAGUGAGCACAUGUAUACUGUUGUGGGUGACAUAUUUAGGAAGUGUGAUUCAUCAAGUAACAUAGGAAAUGCUGUACUUUAUGAAUGUAUAUCCUGUGUCUCUGCUAUAUAUCCCAAUGCUAAACUGCUAGAAGCUGCAGCAGAUGUAAUAGCAAGAUUCUUGAAGAGUGAUAGUCAUAAUUUGAAAUACAUGGGCAUAGAUGCCCUUGGUCGAUUGAUAAAAUUAAGUCCAGAGGUUGCUGAACAACAUCAAUUGGCUGUGAUAGACUGCUUAGAGGAUCCAGAUGAUACUCUAAAGCGAAAAACCUUUGAAUUGCUGUAUAAGAUGACAAAGUC